rnacentral:rRNA from 1 species
CUUAACUUCGGAACUGCUCUCCGAACUGGCAGACUAGAGUACGGGAGAGGGUAGUGGAAUUCCUGGUGUAGCGGUGGAAUGCGUAAAUAUCAGGAGGAACACCAGUGGCGAAGGCUGCUACCUGGAACGUUACUGACGCUGAGGCGCGAAAGCUAGGGUAGCGAACGGGAUUAGAUACCCCGGUAGUCCUGGCUGUAAACCAUGGACACUAGGUGUUGGAGGAUCGACCCCUUCAGUGCUGUUCUGUUAACGCGUUAAGUGUCCCGCCUGGGGAGUACGGCCGCAAGGCUAAAACUCAAAGGAAUUGACGGGGGCCCGCACAAGCGGUGGAGCAUGUUGGUUAAUUGGAUGAUACGCCAAGAACCUUACCAGGGCUUGACAUGUCGCUGACGACCUGGGAAACCAGGUGUUCCGCUUCGGCGGACAG